AUCUGGGAAGAAAGAAUCUUAAUCAAGAAAAUGCCUCCAUCCCACUGGCCCGUAGCCUGUGGGCUUCUGGACCGUAUGAAAGCUAAAAGGACAAAAGACUGGAGAAAGAGAAAGGGAAUUCGGAGACGUGAAGGGGAGAGCGCUGCAUCGAUGGAUCCCGAGCUACAGUUAGAUAGAACCGCUACUAAAGAAGCUCCAGUAGCCAGGGUAACGUAAUCGAAAGCUGCGCAGCCAGGAAUCUGUGUGCAAGGGGAUGUUCGCGGGCGGUUCUGAGUACAGUCGCUGCUUAGUUGACAGUUUUCAGCAUAAGCAGAAACUAGGUCCUAGGAAAAUUCGUCUGCGGAGCUUUCUCGCUGAGAUCAGUGGGUCUCCACGGACCUCUCCCCAAAGACCUGCUGGCUAGCAGAGCCUGGGAAAGCUGCCACAAUCGUUUCGACCAGUCCUUUGAGGUUUGCCGGUGUUUUCAGCCUGGGAAUGGUUCCCAAACUGGGCCCACAUGCAGCUGGAUAAAUUCGCUUUUGCAAGUCUGUAUCUGCUUCAUAGAAGUGACGCCCUGGGCUGCUAGCAAAUUCAUCGUUCCCAGGGCCCACCAUCGAAAAUCAUGAGACAUUUCUUUCUGCAGCAGAAAAAUUUGUGGUGGGUGGUUUCUUUUUGUUUUCUGAAAAAAAAAAGUCUAAAAAAAGUACUCCUAUAUGCCUUGUCUUGUAUGUACUGACGAACCCUUGAUUUUACCCCAUCCAUCGGGAUUUUCUGGCUCCAGGCUUGAAGGUGGACUUGGGAGGCUUUGAGCCCUGUUAGGCUCAGGGCUCAGAAAACAAUCUCCCCGCCCCACAAAUAAACCUCAAAUGCUUUAAACCUAA